rnacentral:ribozyme from 1 species
UUGGAAAGGAAAGAAAAAAGACAUUUUCAGAUGAUAGAGCAACCUGUUAAUGUCACAUUACCUAAAGCUUUGUUCACUAUGGACUAUGACGGAGCU